GGUAAAGGGCAAAUCCCUUUGGAUGCUUUCUUUUUUAAAGAAUGGCUGCAGUUGCUGACAGAUGGUCUUUGUCUGAAUGUAGCUGAGGACAGAUACAGUUUCUUUUUACACAUUUAUGAAAGUUGUAGAUAUAGAUGCUGGUAAUAUGCUGUGGCCUAGGACAAAGAGCAAAGCUUGGUGGACAGAGAGGAUUAAAUUUCAGAUCAGUGACAGAUGGCUGGCUUAGCAGAGUCAGAUAAAAUUAAAAGAGGGGGGUAGUGGGUGAAAAGAAACCACUUUCCAUGUAAAAGUUGCAUCUUCUAAGACAACAGCAGCAUGCAACGUCUAGCUUUCUUCCCAACCUGGUACUCAGUUCCUGGAUUUAAAUUUCUUCUUCAAAUACGCAUUUUAGUUUUGCCUUUGCAGAAGAAAUGGAUUCUUUAUUGAUCGAACUUAUCUAAGGGAAACUAAGAAACAAUACAAUUAACAAUUUGUUUUUCAACUUGGCCAGCAAAGAAUACUUCCAUUUGCAAAACUACACAGGAGAAAGGGCCAGAUGUGUGAGAUGCCAGAAGAAGGGAGCCCUGAUCACACUCUGUGUACAGCGGAUCUCAAGCAUUUCCACCAAGGACUCCGCCUAGGAGGGAGAGAUAGCUUGUCUUGAGGAAGGACAAUGCCCUAUGUGAAUCUACUUCUAUUUCCUAACUGGAUUGGGAGCCAAACCAACAAGCUCCAAAAAGAUCACACAAGAGGCCCCAGUGCCGGGGCCAGAGGGCCACCUAUUCAUGCCUAUGGAUCCAGAGCUACCAUUUUAAACCUAGAGGCAGGGCCCCCUCCUGAACUGUAAGCCAUUAAAAAAGUCAGAUUCAUUCAAGCAAGAACAGAAGUUAGGUUGUGGAACAGAGAAAACUUUUCAAAAGAAGUGAAAAGUAGAUCCUCAUGUAAUCAUCCCUUCUUUCUUCAAAAUAGGCUGAGGCAGUUCUCUGGAAUUCCCAGAGAAGACUGAAAUGGAAUCUUCUAUUACCCUUCUGAGCAAUUACAUGUCCAGGAGUCUUUGAGAAGGAACACAAGCUAUUUCCUAAAUAUAUAUCUAUUUCUAUAUCAUGAGGCCUGCUGGGGCAGAUUGGGUGUCUUUGUUGGUUAAAAGAGACUACCUAAGAUGUUAUCAUGGCAGCACAUAACAAAAACACAUCAAGUUUGGACAAUUAGUGAGGCUGUAGAGUGGGAUUCAUGUCUGGCUGGUGAAGUGGCCCUUACUGGGCCUCUCUGUAGGAGAGGACCUAUUUCUUCUUGUCCUCACAUGGAGAUGAGACAAUAGGGCUAGGCAGCCAUGUUCUAUGCUUAGUGGCAAUUCUCAACAUGGUCCUUAUACUAAAGAAUGCCAGGAGGCCCUCUUUCUGGAAAGAAAAACAAAAGAAGGUGCUCAUUCCUGAUUCAGAGACAAACCAGGGAGAACUUCAGUUAGUUCAGAAAAUGCCUGGAACAGAGUGAGACUGGGGGCUUGGCCUUUUCUCCAGCAAGGACAAAAACCAUUGUCUUCAGUCUCACCAAACACCCUUCCCUCUCCCUUUCAUUUUGGUUCCCGUGUAGUCUGAGCAUUCAAAACCCCCUCUCCUAUUUCCUGGUAGAAUCCCAUAAGUGUGGAUUGAAUAUUGACAGAAUCUUCCAUGUUUCUUCCUGCCCUAGGGCAAUUAGAGUUGAAUUAUGUACACCAAAGUCAGGCUAUAAAUAAGAAACUAUUUUUCAUUUAUCUCAAUGAGAAGAAAUCCUUAUUAGACCCUAAACAGAAGAAAUGAGCGAAUAUGAGAUUAAUAUAAGUGAAGGAGGCUAUAGUUUCUGCUUUGUGUGGUGAUAAACCCUUUUUUUCCUUUUCAUACUAAUUAUUGUUAUCAUUAUUAGUAUUAUUUUACCCCUCAAUUGCCUUCGGAUGUUAUCCAAGAGGAAGAGCUUUAUCGGUUGGUGAAAGCUCCACAGUAUUAUUUAUUUCAUGUAAUAAAAUGUAUGUAAUGAUCAUGAUUAAUGUUUGUUUGUUGUUGUAUCAUUGUGUU
rnacentral:lncRNA from 1 species